rnacentral:rRNA from 1 species
UACGAAGGGGCUAGCGUUGCUCGGAUUUACUGGGCGUAAAGGGCGCGUAGGCGGACAGUUAAGUCGGGGGUGAAAGCCCGGGCUCAACCUCGGAAUUGCCUUCGAUACUGGCUGUCUUGAGUGUGAGAGAGGUGUGUGGAACUCCGAGUGUAGAGGUGAAAUUCGUAGAUAUUCGGAAGAACACCAGUGGCGAAGGCGACACACUGGCUC